AACGAACGCUGGCGGCAUGCCUAACACAUGCAAGUCGAACGAGACCUUCGGGUCUAGUGGCGCACGGGUGCGUAACGCGUGGGAACCUGCCCUUAGGUUCGGAAUAACUCCCCGAAAGGGGUGCUAAUACCGGAUAAUGUCUUCGGACCAAAGAUUUAUCGCCUUUGGAUGGGCCCGCGUUGGAUUAGCUAGUUGGUAGGGUAAAAGCCUACCAAGGCGACGAUCCAUAGCUGGUCUGAGAGGAUGAUCAGCCACACUGGGACUGAGACACGGCCCAGACUCCUACGGGAGGCAGCAGGGGGGAAUAUUGGACAAUGGGGGAAAGCCUGAUCCAGCAAUGCCGCGUUAGUGAUGAAGGCCUUAGGGUUGGAAAGCUCUUUUACCCGGGAUGAUAAUGACAGUACCGGGAGAAUAAGCUCCGGCUAACUCCGUG
rnacentral:rRNA from 1 species